rnacentral:lncRNA from 1 species
AAAAAGGAAGACAAAUCUAAGAAUAUCUUCUUAAAUAUCUUCAUUUCCUGAAUCCUUUAUGUCCGUUCCACCUGUCACAAAAGUCCUGAAUGGUUGAGAGCUAAAGAGGCCCGUGGCAAUAGGAUGCAUGAAUGAGAUCGGAUUGGACGGUCAAAACCUGACCCGUUUCUCUGGGGCAGGCAUGUUUUCAUAUCACACCCCAUGCCAUGAAAGCGAUGACCAGAUGAAAGGCCACGCAAACGCCAGUAUGCCCCCUCGCUGCAGAGCUGAAGGCUAGGAAGCGAUCGUGAGUGCUGCGCUAAUCACUGCUGAUAAUACAGUGAGCUCCGGUCCUGCCGCUCGUAAUGAGCGAGUUGUUUUGGGAACCUGGGAUGACGGCGGCUCCUGCAGGUGUCUGUUGUGUUGGCUCUCCAGGAGAGGUUUAGGAGUGGGAGGAGUGGCGGCUAGUUUGAAAACCACCACUAGCAAAGGAGCAGGCAUGGAUUAGCGUGUUCCCAGCAGUAUGGUGCUGUUUUGGAGGUAACGUCAUUAGAUGGCAUUAAAGCGAUUCACUUUUUUCCCCUUUAUGCCGGAGUCUUUCCACAGUGAGGGGGGGAUUAGAGUAAAAGCAGCUUUAAUUGACAAACCACA